rnacentral:lncRNA from 1 species
UACCAUAUAUAUAAAAGGGGUACCCGGGCACAGUACUGUACCUUCAUAUAACAUGGGUAUGCGAGCAUUGUAUCAAGACACCAAUCAUAGGUGGGUACGCGCACAUAGUACCAAGACCCAAACAUAACAAGAAUAUAGGUAGUACUUUCUGUGAUUGCUUAGUAUAUACACAUAAGUUAUGUACAAUGGGAAACUGAUAGACGGUUGACUGUGUGAACUCUGUUUUGCUUUCCUUUUCCUUGUUUGGAUGUGGGGGUACGACAGGAUCGCACAAUCAAGUGUCCGUCUGUUUCUGAUUAUGUAUAAUAAGUAUGUACUAUGUGAAUCUUAGGAUAGUCUUUUCAAAGUGUAUUCAGAGUACUAUUCAGAGGAACACAACGAUCGUACUAUAGUCUUUUCAUAGUAUAUUUAUUAUACUAUGAACUGAGACUGAACUUGCUAUUUUAAUAGCAUAAUAUCCAACACAAGAAUGGUUUUAUGAGAUGUAAAACUAAAUAUGCUAUUCCAUAGUAUAUUUAUACAUUCGUUAAGUCGUACUUUUGGUGAGUUACAAGCUAUCUAUUCCAUAACACAGUACGCCAACCUUCAGUAUAACGGUUUUCGGAGAUAAAACAAUGGUUUGAUAACAGUUAAGGAAUAUGGGUUUUCCUAGGUUUAAUGGUAACAUUUUCUAGGUAUUCUAGUAACAUUUACUAGGCAUUCUAGUUCAUUAUAAAGGAUUCUUAGGAAGGUUAUUAUUAUGAUUUCCUUGCUUAUACAUUCCCUGGUUAUAUAUAACGAAGAUCUGGUAGACAAUAGAAUGUGAGAUUUCUAACUUAGUUUCUUUUCCUUGUUUGGAUGUGAAACUAGGGUAGAACCCUACAAUUUAUUAUCCGUCCAAUCUUGAUUAUAUCAUAACAUGUGUACGCUAAGUUUUCAAGGAUAUUAAAGGUUAUUAUUAUGAUUUCCUUGCUUAUACAUUCCCUGGUUAUAUAUAACGAAGAUCUGGUAGACAAUAGAAUGUGAGAUUUCUAACUUAGUUUCUUUUCCUUGUUUGGAUGUGAAACUAGGGUAGAACCCUACAAUUUAUUAUCCGUCCAAUCUUGAUUAUAUCAUAACAUGUGUACGCUAAGUUUUCAAGGAUAUUAACUCACCUCUUAGUUAGAAUCAGUAUAACAUAGAUUACUUUUAAUUAUAACUAUAAUCCUUCAGUUUAUACGAAAGGUUAUAUAUAAUGAAGACUAGAUAGAUUGGAGAUUGUGUGAACCCAGUUUUACUUUCCUUUUCCUUGUUUGGAUGUGGGGGUACGAUCGAAUCACACAACCGACUAUCCGUCUCGUAUUGAUUAUAUGUAAUUAGUAUGAGCUAAAUGAUUAUAGAGGAAAUUGCUUCAGUAUUACUUUACUUUUAAGGUAACAUAUGGUUUUCUUGUCAGUCUUUCAAACUUGUUCAAUUGUCAAAGAAGUUUCUUACUUUAAACUAAAUAUUAUGCACUCACCAGCUUUAUAGCUGAUACUCGCUUUCAAAAUACUUGUAUUCUCAGGAAUAUAUUAAGACAGGUAUCCAAUCAGAGUUCGUGAAGACGGAGCAGUAGUUUCUCGUCGUAUCUUUUGAUACUAUUAUACUAUAACAACAUGUAAUGUUUUGAAUUCGAUGUAAACACUUUUACAUAUAUAUUAAAGAAAUUUGUUGCUUUGAUUAAUAUUAUUCAAUUGUUGUGAUACUACAUAUGACGUCCUCCACCCCCGAAUGUUUCCGCCGUUCCGGUUUUGGGGUGUGACAGAUUGGUAUCAGAGCAUUGUUUAUAGUGAACUAAGUAUAUCAACCUAUAAAAGUUAUACAACUAUAAAUAUAAUGGGGCCGAAUUGCUCUGUCUAAAAGUAUACUUAUAAAUAUAUCAAUAUUAUCCAGAAGUAUACAUGCUCACAUAUAUACAUACUAGAAUAAGUAUCACAUGUGGAACAGAACAAAAAUAUUUAAUUGUUGGGCACAACAGUCAAACCUGGGCGGUUAUGUAAUCAUAUAUGGGAUGAAUAUAGCCUGAUCAACUAUAUUUAUUUGAGAUAUGGUGAACGUGUGUUCGGGAAUGAUAGUGGUGUUGCGACAAACCUAAAACUUACCAAAUACUAGGUCCAAAGAAUUCUUUAGAACAAAACAUAAAGUAAAAUACUAUAUGAGUAUUUUAAGAUACUAUCCAAUAACAAUACUAAAAGUGUACAAUAACAAGAAAACUUAAGAAUCAAACCCUAAACGGAGAUACUAUAUGAGUAUCUUCAAUAAUUGUAAAUAAUUAUAUGAGAAUUAAAAGACCCUUACCGAUCAGUCUAUAAUUGUAGAGUGUAUACAUCCUAAAGUUAUAUAUAAUAAAGAUCUCAUAGACUUAGAAUGUGUGGUUUCGCUUCACUUCCUUUUCCAUGUUUGGAUGUGGAUUUAAAGUAUUAUCACAUAUUCGAAUGCCUAUUAGAUCCGAGAUAUAUAUAAUUUGUAUACCCUAUGUUAUUAUAGAAAGACUCAAUAAGGAUCUCAAGUUAAAAAUUUAGUACUAGAAAUAGAAUAAGUAUUCUCAUAACAUUCUUUAGACAUUCCCAUUCUCGCACCAACAACUUAGCUAGAGACACCACCUCACUAAGAUAGUCGACAGAGGAGUCAAGGAGGAACAAGGAGGAAGCCACAGAGAGAACUUCGAGAAGGGAUCCGAAAAGGAGUAUGAAGCUAGAGGAAUGCCAGAGGACAUCAUAGGAACAUAAUAGGACAUCAGAUUACUUUCGUCAGGAGUAGGACAUGGAACAGAGGAAACCACUCGCGAGUCAUGCAAAGUAGCAGAAAACCUUAUGCGUCGCUCAAAUAGCUAGCAGACCAAUACGACCUAGUGAGUUAGUGAAUACACUACUCACACUAUGUGGUAGGCAUAAAGUCUUUAUAAUUACUACUCAUUAACUCCAGUAAAUCAGAUCAUAGGAUUUCGGUUAGGGAUAACCACAACCAUAAAUUCAUAAGUCUAUUGACCUCUGUUAUGAAUUGUUUACAGAACCACUUUGAAAACAUGAAGCACUCAGUUCGAAUAACAUUUGACUUGAUUUCGUUCCUAAAAAACGUAUCCCUAUAUUAUCUUUUCAUCUAUUUAGAUAAAAAGAUGCCUCCCAGAAGAAAUCCUAGACGCUUUAACACCCAAGCAACGGAAACACCACCGCCACCACCACCACAAUUCGAUGCUGCAAUAUUACAGGUAGCAGUCACAACUGCAGUAUCCGCAACCAUGGAACGCUACAACGCAAUGGUUACCAAGAAGAUGGGUGACGGUGUCAUCACCCAUAAUCAUGUGCAUCAGAAAGAAUGUUCUUAUAAGGAAUUCAGGAACUGCAAACCCAAAGCUUUCAAUGGUUUGAGAAGACAGAAUCAGUCUUCGAGAUCUGCCAAUGUCUGAAAAGAAGCAGGGUAAAGUUUGUUGCUUGCACUUUCACAGAAAGAGCCCUCACAUGGUGGAAUGGCCAUGUGAAGUCACUAGGUUUAACAGUGCCAAAUUCAAUGGGUUGGGAGAACAUGAAAGAGCUGAUGAGAGAAGAAUACUGCCCCAGAGGCGAGAUACAAAAGCUAAAGGAAGAGCUUUGGAAUCUCACAGUGGUUGGGUCUGAUAUAGUGACCUACACUAAUAGAUUUAGUGAACUAGCGACACUAUGCCCAGAGAUGGUUACUCCUGAGAGUAAGAAGAUAGAGAGAUACAUCUGGGGAUUAUCUCCUCCAAUGCAAGGAGAUAUAUUAUCAUCUAAUCCAAUCACUUUCGAUAGUGUCAAAUGCUUGGCACAAAGGCUUGUUGACCACGAAGCUGGUCAAGGUGUGAUUACCCCGAAUUCUGAGUCAUCAAAGGGGGAUGCCUAUAAGCGAAAGUCUUGGAAUGAUAAGAAAAGGAAAUCAACGCAGAAGGCGAAGAUUUAUGCUGCUACAACUCCGGUCAACCACCUAGCAACUGCCAAUAAUUAUGCUGGAACACUUCCGAAGUGUGACAGGUGCUCAUUUCAUCACACCAGAGCGUGCCGUGAGAUGCAUUGUAAAAAUUGCAACAGAAGGGGGCACACUACUCAUUUCUGUAGAGCGCCGGCACAACCUAUCUCCCAAUUCCCUGGCGCCAGAUUCAACCAGGCUUGCUAUGGGUAUGGAGAAACGGGGAACAUGAAGAGGGAUUGCCCAAUAACAAAGAACUCUGGCAUAGAUGGAAGGAUACUAAUGAUCACCUCCGCAGGGGAGACUACUCCGAAUCCAUGUUGAAAUUCUGGUACGUUCCGUAGCGAUAAUGUUAGACUUAUAAACUUUUAAAAAUUUGUGCAACUAGAGUCAUAUCAUUCUACGAGAUCCCAUCAGUUAUAGGGACUCUCGUGCUGCUUAUACUUGCUUAUUGCAGUAUACCUUUUUCGCAGCUGUAGUAUCAUAGAUGAAACUAAGGUUCUGAAACUCUUUCAUAGGUUGCACCGUUGUGUUUUUGUAACACCUUUCUGAACUAGUCUAACUCCAGUUAUUCCGAGUAGUCUGACAUUUUCACUUGACUUGAGUCGAUUCGAUCCUCACAGUGCCAGUUUCGUGCAAAAAUUCUCUUCCCUGUAAUCAAAUUUCUAGCAAAGUCGUCGUUCAAGAACUCUGAGGUACUCAUGCGUAGAGUGCCAUAUGUCUCAUAACUUUCCCGAAGUAUCCUCAGUAAACCUCUCCGGAAUACCACUCGUACAGUAUGUCAAGUUUAAUACCAAGGACCCAUACGGUUAAUCUAUCGCAGAAGAAUGUAUACACAAGGGUGGUAUAAAAUAAAGGUUCUACAGGCUUAGAAUUGAUGAUUCCGCUUUAACUUCUUUUCCUUGUUUGGAUGUGAGCUUAGAGAAGAAUCAUCUAUUCGACUGCUUUUUCAAUCUUAACUAUAUACGGCUCGUAUACAUGAGACUGCGAUUGAUGAACCUAGUAUGAGUUCUAUUAUGAACUUCAGGACGGAGACUGCUCAAGACUACGAAUGACCGUGUUGCCAUACGAAUAAACAUAGAAGCCAAACUAAGACCUUCCCGCCAAUCAAGACAAGAGAUGCAGAUGGAACAAAAGUACUUGUCCUCCCCAUAAUUCAUGAGUAUUCACUUUCGAAUCUGAAUUUCAGGACGAAAUUCCCUUUAACGGGGGGAUGAUGUGACAACCUGAAAAUUUUUGCCUUUAAAGUUGUUCAAUUCAAUCAAAGUCAGACUCACUCCUGCUAUCUUUUAGCACUGUUUAGACUCUGUUUGAGUGUUCUGAGCUCAAUACAUUCAAGGAAUGAGUGUUAGAAAGUACCUGCUAGAACCACUGAACAACAUUCAAGCCUUAACCACCACCAACAUGAGUUCACGGCCACAACACUUAGAGUUUAUGGCCGUAAACUCCAAGUGGGCCGUAAACUAACCUAUAUAUAUAUAUAUAUAUAUAUAUAUAUAAGUCUUGGCCAUUUCUUUCAUUCUUUCUUUCCUUGGCCGAUUUUCUUCCAUUCACUCUCAAGUAUCAUCCAACUUUUCAUCUUAGAUCUUCAAAAGCGUAAGUGUUCUAUCCCAUGAUUAGUUGAUACACCUUCUUAACUAGCUUCAUCCAUUGAUUUCAUCCAUGGAAAUCAUCUUUUGGUUAGAUCCUCAACUGUCACCAAGAACACCAAGAACACACACUAGUGUUUUAGCCCGAAAUCAACUCUUUUAGCUUCCAUACCGUAAGUAUUCUUUCAUUAUACUUUAUAUCUACUAUGAAGCCUUGAAUCACACCCUUGAAACAUAUAUUUUCCCAAGAACAUCUUGAGUUUACGGCCCAAGAUCUUCCUUGGCCGUAAACUCAAUGUUAUAGUAUGUUUUGACUUUAAACUCUUGUAAUGAACAAGCCUUAGACCUUGGACCCUCAUUGGAUGUUGUAGGAUCUUAAAACACACACUUAUGUAUAAUUGACCAUGAGUUUACGGCCGUAAACCCCCUUGGCCGUAAACCCAUGGCCGUAAACACAAGUUUAGUGCCAUACACCUUCCUUUGAUGAAUCACAUGUGAUUCAACACUUCAAGACAAUGUUCCUUAGUCCCUUAAGUUGCUUCCCUUCAUGAUUAGUUGUAUUAUAGGCUAAUUAUAUACAUAUGUGUACCAAUAUAUGUCAUUUAGGAAUCAUUUGUGUAUCGGAACUUUAUUCAUGGAACUUCUCAUCCUUACUAGAAUCAUUUGGAUCACCAAUCAUAAGGUGAGUUCAUACCCCUACAUUUUAUCACUUUUCACUGUUUUAAGGGGGGGGGGGGGGAAUCCAAGUCUAAACACAAGAAAUUGUGUUUAUUAUAAANAGAAUACAAGUCUAAACACAAGAAAUUGUGUUUAUUAUAAAUAAAAUGCUAUUAAAUGUUGUAAAUGACAUCAAGUCAUCAAAAUGCUUUUAAAUGUAAAUAAACUCUUUUAAAUAUUAGAAAAUGCUUUUAAAUGUUUUGUUAAAAUCUUUUAACUUAAAUUGUGUAUAAUUGAUGUCUAUGUAGAUAUAAUUAUAUAAGAAUUGUUUAAAGGACUUAGGACUGACUACCAGCUUUAUUUCCUUUUCCUUGUUUGGAUGUGGGCUUGGAGUAAGGUUGUUUGUCCGAAGGUCGUUUAAAUAUUAAUUAUAUAUUAUGUAUAUGUACGUAGAUUUAAAAGUUCUAGAAGUCAGUUUAAUACCUUGGGUAGCAAUGGUAUUCAUUCAGGUUAAGUCAGUUCAGUUGAGUUCAGUCCGUCAAUUAAACAGAACUUACUAGUAAACUAUAGGGAGUAUAGUUAGAGAGUCAAUGCUCAUUACUUGGUAGAUCCAUACUUAUCACUUGGUAGUUCAUUGAAGUCAUAGCAAUGCAUAGAGAUCUAAUACUUGUUAGUCUUAUCUAUUCAUAAAGUACGAACAAUAAUACGAACUAAAUAUAAGGAACUCAAAAAGGUACAUCUUUCAAUGUACCAUAUAUAUAAAAGGGGUACCCGGGCACAGUACUGUACCUUCAUAUAACAUGGGUAUGCGAGCAUUGUAUCAAGACACCAAUCAUAGGUGGGUACGCGCACAUAGUACCAAGACCCAAACAUAACAAGAAUAUAGGUAGUACUUUCUGUGAUUGCUUAGUAUAUACACAUAAGUUAUGUACAAUGGGAAACUGAUAGACGGUUGACUGUGUGAACUCUGUUUUGCUUUCCUUUUCCUUGUUUGGAUGUGGGGGUACGACAGGAUCGCACAAUCAAGUGUCCGUCUGUUUCUGAUUAUG